rnacentral:lncRNA from 1 species
GUUUGAAGGAAGGCACUCCACCCCACGCAGAAAGCUCAAAGGGGAGGACUGCUGUUAAGUUGGAAAAAAAAAAAAAAAAAACCUAAAGAUGGUUGGCAUAGCUUCCUUCCAUCUCUCAGGACUGAUGUGAUGCAGCAGGCUGCCCUCCAGGUCCCACCGCUACCCAAGUCCCCACCUCGCUCUGCCCGGCUCACCACUCCAGGAAUGGUUGAAAGAACAGAAACAUUGGACUUCUGACCUCCAUAGAGAAAAUGAUGAGCUUUGGCUCAUUUCUAUCAAUCACUCAGCAAUCUCAAGACACU